GAAUUUUUCAAAAGCAUUAGUGGUGGGUGGGCCCGAGUUUAUUAAAUUAUGCUUUGUAAGAGAACCCUCUUUAUGAGUAGCAGAUAAGUUCGAGUACUGUUCACCUUGUUCAAUUUUUUUACUCCCACUUGCAGAGGGAAGGUCACUACCUGUCAGUCAUCCGUGGGCACCGGUGAAGGUUUCUGAGAGUUGGUGGAGCUUUCAGUCGGUUGGCUACUGGAGGUGGAGUAACUGCAUUUGUGGAUGGUAUGACCAAUUCUCCCGUAACUAGUGCACAAAAUGUCUUCCCCUUCAUACACUACUUUUUUAUGUGUGAUAAACUAUUACGAUUGUGUUUUGACCGGCACCUCUAGAGGUACCUGAAUGCAAAUCCUUGCAUAACGGCCUCUUAGAGUUGCUGAUGUACAUGAGUCAAUCCUUAGCAGUACCCCCAAUUUUUUCCCGAUCUUUUCUAGGAUUAUUUAAUCAUAAAAUUCAGUGGAAAGUUGGGGUAGUCUCACCCAGAUAGCCGUGUGGGUCAAUUGAGCUUCUUCCGGGACAAAAUUGGGUUCCCAUUUUUCGACGGAGAGAAAGCUUCUUGUAACGAACCAAGGGCCUUCAUGGAGCACCUUCUGCAUAUUUUCAUGUUGGGUGAGCUUUGUAACAAAGUAGACUUUACCCAGGUCAAUUAAUGAGAAGGGCUCUGUUGGCUUCCAAAGAUCAAUCAAUUGGGCUAACGAUUUUCCAUACAGUUUAAGGAUGAUCGACGAUAGCCAUGGUUGGUAGAUCCGUUGUCUGCCUUCCAAAGUAAGGUGGACCGCUUCAGGAUUCAAAUCGGUGUUGCAGAGCAUCGCGUUAUUUUGCUCUUCAUAAAUGGUGUUUAGAUUUGGAUGCUUAUUCAAUAGGACGUCUUUGAAAGAUUGUUCCCCGGAUAGGUAAGAGGGUUAGAGUCUUCGUCUAUCAAGGUGGUGUUGUCCGGAGGUUUUGGUGGUUCCGGUGGAAUCCGGGGGGUACUUCUGUGUUGAGUGUUGGGAGCAUUUUUUAGGAGAGAGAAGUAACGGAUGCCACAGAAAGGAAAGUUUCAUAAAGUUUGUAUUGAUAAUAUAAGUGUGUUAUUU